GCAACGCCGGGCCAGCGGCCGCGGUCAUACGGGGUGGCCAAGCGUUAUCCGGAAUUACUGGGCGUAAAGAGUUGCGGAGGUGGCAAAGGAUGUCGGUAGUGAAAGCGUGGGGCUCAACCCUAUACACAUUAUAGAAACUGCUUGGCUAGAGGACGAGAGAGGUUAUUGGAAUUCCCAGUGUAGGAGUGAAAUCCGUAGAUAUUGGGAGGAACACCGAUGGCGUAGGCAGAUAACUGGCUCGUUCCUGACACUAAGGCACGAAAGCGUGGGGAGCAAACGGGAUUAGAUACCCCGGUAGUC
rnacentral:rRNA from 1 species